AUAGGGUUAGUAGUGUGGUUAAGAUUACAGUUAGGUUUAAAAUCUAAUUUUAAAAAGAGAAAUUGCUGAAAUAGGCAGGGUUGCUUCCCAACCGAAACAUUUUAAAACAUUUGGUACAUAUAUUAUGCGGCAGACCAGGGGGGUUGGUCAAAACGUUUACACAGAGAGCAGGACUAGCUCAGUUUCAAGGGUGUUUAUUUGAAUAACAAACCAAAAGAAAAUAAUAAGUCUCCCCCAUGAGACCCUCUCCGGGAUACUUUCUUCUGGGCUCCGGGUCUUACUGUAUCCUGUGGGGAACAAAAACGGAAUUCCCUCCCUUUACCUCCAGAACCAUCCCCAGCUAUACGUGUGCUGCCCUUCUGGCAGCUUUAUGGGACCCGUCCAGCUGGUGAGCAAUCAGCCCUUGAUUACUCACCAACCACAAUCAGCCCCAAUUAGUCCUGGCCGGAGAGCCCGUCGAGACCUGGCAAGUCCAGUAGAGGGAGCCAUCGCCUCGUGAUGUAUACUCGGUCUGUCACCAGGGCUCGACCAGUCUCCCCCUGAUGGCUGACCUGCUAUACGCCACAAUUAUGACGACAUUUUGUGAAGUUUUUGUUCGUUAUGGUGUUCGGCGAGGGUUUUGACGGCUGUUCGUGCACACUACAUUUUGUUCUGGAGGCCAGCCGAAGUUCGGGAGCCGAAGUAUAUGCCCCUUCGUCCUUGAUUGGUCAACUGUAAGGGUGACGUAAGUUUCUUCUUCUUCAGCCCGAAACUCAUAGGUGGCGGCAACACACCCGGUGUAGUCUACCAUACAACUUUAAAGAAGAAGAAGACCUAAAUUCAGUGUGUAUUCAACAUGGCGAACAACAACUUCAAGCAUAAAGAACAACAACAACUUCAAGCAUAAAAAACGACAACAAAACAACUUCAAGCAUCGAUUGACCGAGGAGGUACAGAAGUACCUUAACCACUACAAUUAUAGCCAUGCAUUAUAUAAAGAACAGCAUGUAAAUGCCAAUUAAUGGAGGGUGAUUGCGGAAACGCUGGGGUCCGAUCCAACCACUUGUUUGAAAAAGUGGGGUAUGGUUCGCAACAAGUUUGUCAAGGCAAAGAAAAGAAACAAGGGCCACAGUGGAAAUGUUUGUGGAAAUGCUCCUACAGAAAUGUUGCUGCUGGCUUGUUCAGCACGGGAAGACUGAAAGCAACAUGAUGUCUUCACCAAAGGAUGAGAGGCACAAACACCAGUGAAUGGAGACAUCACCUGGUUUUGUUCUCUUCGCCCCAGUAUUGCCUGUUCACCAGCCCCAAACACUACUUCUCCAGACACUCUUAAUUCCCUCUCCGCAGGGCCCUGGCACCUACAGCUGACUUCAUGGAUGAACUCUUGCCAAAACUCUGGGAGAAGUUUGAUCACCAGCUGCAAGACGAGGAGGAUGUGGUCUGAAUGACUGGGACUACAAUGAAAUUAAGUUUGGUUGUUGUUCAGACAUCUCAGAAGUCAGACACAUUUGUUUCCAUAGACACUUGUUUACAUGUCUGUUCUUAGCAGACACUUUUGUACUGUGGCUUACUUUCAGAGCCCAGAAGCAAGAAUAAAGGUUUAUUUAUGUGUGCUGAAAAA